rnacentral:rRNA from 1 species
GGUUAAUGGUGGGCACUCUAAGGAGACUGCCGGUGACAAACCGGAGGAAGGUGGGGAUGACGUCAAGUCAUCAUGGCCCUUACGGCCUGGGCUACACACGUGCUACAAUGGUCGGUACAAAGGGUUGCCAAGCUGCGAGGUGGAGCUAAUCCCAUAAACCGAUCGUAGUCCGGAUCGCAGUCUGCAACUCGACUGCGUGAAGUCGGAAUCGCUAGUAAUCGUGAAUCAGAAUGUCACGGUGAAUACGUUCCCGGGCCCUU